CUACGGGGCGCACCAGUGGGGAAUAUUGCACAAUGGACGAAAGUCUGAUGCAGCAACGCCGCGUGGAGGAUGACACUUUUCGGAGCGUAAACUCCUUUUAUAUAGGAAGAUAAUGACGGUACUAUAUGAAUAAGCACCGGCUAACUCCGUGCCAGCAGCCGCGGUAAUACGGAGGGUGCAAGCGUUACUCGGAAUCACUGGGCGUAAAGAGCGUGUAGGCGGGUUAAUAAGUCAGAAGUGAAAUCCAAUGGCUCAACCAUUGAACUGCUUUUGAAACUGUUAACCUAGAAUAUGGGAGAGGUAGAUGGAAUUUCUGGUGUAGGGGUAAAAUCCGUAGAGAUCAGAAGGAAUACCGAUUGCGAAGGCGAUCUACUGGAACAUUAUUGACGCUGAGACGCGAAAGCGUGGGGAGCAAACAGGAUUAGAUACCCUAGUAGUC
rnacentral:rRNA from 1 species